CCUACGGGUGGCAGCAGUGAGGAAUAUUGGUCAAUGGCCGGAAGGCUGAACCAGCCAAGCCGCGUGAAGGACGAAGGUGCCAAGCAUUGUAAACUUCUUUUGUCAAGGGACAAAAUCAGGCUCGUGAGCCUGACCGAGUGUACUUUACGAAAAAGCAUCGGCUAACCCCGUGCCAGCAGCCGCGGUAAUACGGGGGAUGCGAGCGUUAUCCGGAUUUAUUGGGUUAAAGGGGUGCGUGGGCGGGCUGUUAAGUCAGCGGGAAAACCCCGGGGCUCAGCCCCGGCGAGCCGUUGAAACUGGCUGUCUGGAGAGGGCGAGAGGUAUGCGGAAUG
rnacentral:rRNA from 1 species